GUUAUAUGGUCAAGCGAAUAAGCGCACACGGUGGAUGCCUAGGCGGUCAGAGGCGAUGAAGGACGUGGUAGCCUGCGAAAAGUGUCGGGGAGCUGGCAACAAGCUUUGAUCCGGCAAUAUCCGAAUGGGGAAACCCACUGCUUCGGCAGUAUCCUGCAGUGAAUUCAUAGCUGCUGGAAGCGAACCCGGUGAACUGAAAUAUCUAAGUAACCGGAGGAAAAGAAAUCAACCGAGAUUCCCUAAGUAGUGACGAGCGAACGGGGAGCAGCCCUUAAGCUGGAAUGGCUUUAGAAAAACAAUCUGGAAAGAUUGGCCAUAGAAGGUGAUAGCCCUGUAUUUAAAAGGGCCACUCCAGUGAAGACGAGUAGGGCGGGGCACGUGAAACCCUGUCUGAAUAUGGGGGGACCAUCCUCCAAGGCUAAAUACUCCUGACCGACCGAUAGUGAACCAGUACCGUGAGGG
rnacentral:rRNA from 1 species